CCUGCUGGAGCUACAGCUAUCUGUGUGUCUGUUACUGGAGUUUAUGGAUUCAUAUCGGGAUCGUUUUACAUCUACACGUUAAAUAUGAGCAUCGGGACGUCAACAAAGAACAGAAGACUUGAGAUCUGAGCACCAGUGGACAGCGAAGACUAUGGAAGAGAAGAUGUGAUGGUUUUGUGUGGAAAGCUGCUAACGCCAGCCUGUGUCCCUCUCAUCAGUCUCUCCAGGCAGCACCCAGCUAUUCUUGCAGAUGAAAAUACUUUGAUAUCAUCUGGACACAGCAGGAACCUACGCCAGGAUCCUGUUUGUGGACUUCAGCUCUGCCUUCAACACAACACUCUGGCUGGAGGCUGCGCUCCAUCAGGACCAACACCUCUCUCCCUCAGGACCAGAACCUCUCUCCAUCAGGACCAACACCUCUCUCCAUCAGGACCAACACCUCUCUCCAUCAGGACCAACACCUCUCUCCAUCAGGACCAACACCUCUCUCCAUCAGGACCAG